AGGUCAUUUUAUGGACAGUUUCUCAGCAACCCUUUGUACCUCUCCCAUGCUUCAUAUAGUCACUCUCCUCCUUGUUGUUCGGAUUUUGUGAUUGCUUUCUUUAAUUU